rnacentral:misc_RNA from 1 species
GAAAUGCGAUAAGUAAUGUGAAUUGCAGAAUUCAGUGAAUCAUCGAAUCUUUGAACGCACAUUGCGCCCGCCAGUAUUCUGGCGGGCAUGCCUGUCCGAGCGUCAUUUCAACCAUCAAGCCUCCCCAAGCGGCUUGUGUUGGGGACCUGCGACUGCCCGCAGGCCCUGAAAACCAGUGGCGGGCUCGCUGUCACCCCGAGCGUAGUAGCAUCUCUCUCGCUCAGGGCGUGCUGCGGGUUCCAGCCGUGAAAGCGCUCCUUGCGCCCCCCCGAAAAAGGUUGACCUCGGAUCAGGUAGGAGUACCCGCUGAACUUAAGCAU